GCAAUUUGUGAAUCUGUCCUGCGUUUUGAUUGUUUUGUGAACAAUUCUUGAAAACCUCUCUCUCUCUCUAUCUCAACUCAAUCUAUCUGUAUUCGUCAUCUGUUUCCGUGAUCUAUUUGGCUCCAUCUGACAUCUCGAUUUUAUAAUUUAUGCUGAGCAAGUGCUUGAUAUUUCCACGACAUAUUACAAUUCUCCUGUGUUUGAAGU